UGAUAAGUUAGUAGGGAAAGGAGUGAGAAGGUGGAGGAGAACAUCUAAUAUAUUGUGGAGGGAAGUGCUUUCAAAGGACUAAAGUGCAUUGGAUAUUGAUGUGGACUUUGUGUCUAAUAGGGCUGAAUGACGAAAGAGGAUUCAUAUAGAUAACUCCAACUAGUUAGAGAUUAAGGAUUAGUUGUUGUUUAGUGAUAGAAGAUUGUAUUCUAGUAAAAUAAAUAGAACACACAAGUAUUUAGCCCUUGGGGCCCAUUACUGAGUAUAAUGGUAAGACUUUUGUGUGGAUUAGCAAUCACAAAGACGCAGUUACAGUUCCUGAAGCUAACACUUCACCCAAAGAAGCUAAUGGGUAGGCUCACUAAUUCUCUUGAGAACCCACUUUACUGAGACCAUCAAUUUUUAUAGAUAUAGAUAUUUACUACUGCUAGGAUUUGUUAUUAUGGUAA
rnacentral:misc_RNA from 1 species